GUGGGACAUUGAAAUGAGGCAUGAUUGGUAUGUAAACUUUGUAAAAAAAAAUCAUUCUUAAAGCUUGGCUUCAAACAUCUCAUCAUCUAUUUCUAUGGUGCUUGUAAACACUGGCUCAAUAAAACCUCUUUAGCUUCAAAAAGUUGAAUUGGAACUCAAUACCAGAUCUCAGGAAAGCCAUCGCUUUUCAGGAAAAGGAAGAAUUCAACUAACAACAGAAUAGAGGUCUACAAAAUGUAUGGAGGAAAUGGAAAGUCAUUCCAGCAAAAAGGAUAUGAGGCAAAAGUAGCAAAGGGAAAAGGUGCAUGGAGCAAAGCCCAAAGGAAAGCAGGUACAGUUUUCCAGUUUUCCAAGAGUCUCCUCGCGGUGGAGUCUCAGAAGACAUGCAGUUUACAAUUCCUUGAGCACUGAGUGAUGACGACACCUGUGAAAUGUCUACCGGGAAAGCACAUAUGGACUCAUCACCAAUGCUUUUACCUAUGACUGACCAUGCACACGCCCUCUGCCUCGAAGAUCCCCAGAAGGAAAACGGGUAGUCACCGUAAAACAUAAUUUUUGUGCAAA